rnacentral:tRNA from 1 species
UGCAUCUUUAGCUCAGUGGAUAGAGCGUUCGGCUCCGGACCGAAAGGCUGCCAGUUCGAUUCUGAUAAGAUGCAUC